CCCGGCAGGCAUCACGUUACACUUGUCUGCAUUGAAUUUCAUCUGCCAUUUUACCACCCACCCGCUCAGCUUGGAGAAGUCCUUUUGGAGCUCUUCACAAUCUCUUUUUUUGUUUUAAAAGUAAUCUUUAAAAUCAUUUUGGGCUUUAAAGAACUUCAACACCAACACUUUUGAAAUGUCCCCCAUUUUAGGUGUAUUAUGUGAAUUGAGGACUCUCUGUGGGAACCGUGAUCUCCAAAUCCCAAGAAAAUAGCCGAGACAGAGACAAAAUAGCAGAAGCAGAGACAAACUAUGAUCGUGAGUCCAUCAUGCUUCAGAAUAUCUUGGCUCAUUUCACAACGUCCUAGUCAGCUCUAAUAACUGGUUUUGAUAUUGCCACUUCUAGGUGAACAUCGCCACAGACCUACCCCAUGGCAGCAUUUCAUUCCCAACCAGUCAUGUUUUAACAUUGCUUAGCCAUAUGGUGCCUUAUGAACUUAUUCACGCUGUGAUUGAUACGAUUUAUUCACCUGGCAAAUGUAUGGACCAAACAAAAGGAG